rnacentral:lncRNA from 1 species
GCAAUUAAUGAACUGAAAUAAAGCCAGAGCAAGGAGCCUGGUUACAUCGGUCAAUUGUUUUUGAAGGGACAGUUCCUGAAGUUGGACUCUCGAUCCCAAGGCCUAUCCCCAUCCCAAGUCCUCCAAGUGGAAACCGCAAAAGGAAGCAGCCCUGACCAGCCCUCAGACAUUAUUGCAGCGCCCCCAGUUGCUGGAGGAACCCGAAGAAGAGGCGCCGGGGUAGCCGCCUUCCUCCGCCUCAGAGCGGCUGGACUCGGAGAGUUGGAGGGUUAUCCAGUAUAUUAAUGUCUUAUUGAUAAUGGCAGAACAUCCACCACUACUGGAUACAACUCAGAUUUUAAGUAGUGAUAUUUCUCUUCUCUCUGCCCCUAUUGUAAGUGCAGAUGGAACACAACAGGU